GAUGAACGCUGGCGGCGUGCCUAGUACAUGCAAGUCGAGCGAACAGACGAGGAGCUUGCUCCUCUGACGUUAGCGGCGGACGGGUGAGUAACACGCGGAUAACCUACCUAUAAGACUGGGAUAACUUCGGGAAACCGGAGCUAAUACCGGAUAAUAUAUUGAACCGCAUGGUUCAAUAGUGAAAGACGGUUUUGCUGUCACUUAUAGAUGGAUCUGCGCCGCAUUAGCUAGUUGGUAAGGUAACGGCUUACCAAGGCAACGAUGCGUAGCCGAACGGAGAGGCGGGUAGGCCACAUUGGAGCGUGACCGGCGUCCAUGCGCCUGCGGGAGGCCGCAGUAGGGAAUCUUACGCAAUGGGCGGGAGCCUGACGGAGCAAGGGCGCGCGAGUUAUGAAGGUGUUCGGAUCGUAAAACUCUGUUAUUAGGGAAGAACCAAUGUGUAAGGAACUAUGCACGUCUUGACGGUACCUAAUCAGAAAGCAACGGCUAACUACGUG
rnacentral:rRNA from 1 species